AGGAGAGGGACCUCAUCUCACAACAGGGCAGGAGACCACAUCCCCCUCACGAGCCCUAGAACACUGAGUGCCAGGCUGAGGAGACAGUCCAGUCAGGAAAGAGCUUCUCCUACCAGCAUGAGAGCCUGCAUUUGAGCCCCAGCAACUGGUCUACUUGCCUCAGAAUAGCACAGCUGGCUAGGGCUGGGCCCUUCUGCAUCAAUUAGCAAACAAGGAAAUAUUCUGCAAACAUGUUCACAGGCCAAUCAGAUGGAGGGGAUUCUUUAGUUGAGCCUCCUUCCUGGUGUCAAGUCAACAAUCAAGGAACCCUAGGAGUUAGAAGGUACUUGUUAGACAACGCACAGCCACCGCAGAACAUAACCAAGGGAGACUUUGGGAACCGUGCGUGCCAGGAGUCAGCCACCUGGAUCACCGCUCUCCUCCUGCAGAAUGCAAAUAUCAGAAAGAAAAGGAAAAAAAUUAAAGAGGAGAAGAAUUUCCAUUUCUCUGUCUGGAAUUAUCAUUUGCAAUGAGGCUUGAUGACUGGCUGCAGACAGCCCAGCUGCUAAGGCUGAAUCUAGUCUGGUCUGCCCGCCUCACCGCAGGCUCUGUCUGACGGCUGCGGGGAAUGAACAGGACCUAUCUUUCCAGCAGUUCCUGGGCUUUGCUACUGGAACUGUCUGUGCUCAGGCCAGAUUCCCGCCCUCAUGAAUUAUUCACGAAGCCUCCUUCUCCCAGGUUCUUUCCUCUGGGCCGGGUGGCUUGUCAGCCGGGGAGAAAUUUGUAAAUGUAAUUUGUGUUCUCAA